rnacentral:rRNA from 1 species
UCGAACGAUGAAGCCCUUUCGGGGGUGGAUUAGUGGCGAACGGGUGAGUAACACGUGGGCAAUCUGCCCUUCACUCUGGGACAAGCCCUGGAAACGGGGUCUAAUACCGGAUAAUACUUUCCUCCUCCUGGAGGAAGGUUGAAAGCUCCGGCGGUGAAGGAUGAGCCCGCGGCCUAUCAGCUAGUUGGUGGGGUAAUGGCCUACCAAGGCGACGACGGGUAGCCGGCCUGAGAGGGCGACCGGCCACACUGGGACUGAGACACGGCCCAAANUNAUACGGGAGGCAGCAGUGGGGAAUAUUGCACAAUGGGCGAAAGCCUGAUGCAGCGACGCCGCGUGAGGGAUGACGGCCUUCGGGUUGUAAACCUCUUUCAGCAGGGAAGAAGCGAAAGUGACGGUACCUGCAGAAGAAGCGCCGGCUAACUACGUGCCAGCAGCCGCGGUAAUACGUAGGGCGCAAGCGUUGUCCGGAAUUAUUGGGCGUAAAGAGCUCGUAGGCGGCUUGUCACGUCGGUUGUGAAAGCCCGGGGCUUAACCCCGGGUCUGCAGUCGAUACGGGCAGGCUAGAGUGUGGUAGGGGAGAUCGGAAUUCCUGGUGUAGCGGUGAAAUGCGCAGAUAUCAGGAGGAACACCGGUGGCGAAGGCGGAUCUCUGGGCCAUUACUGACGCUGAGGAGCGAAAGCGUGGGGAGCGAACAGGAUUAGAUACCCUGGUAGUCCACGCCGUAAACGUUGGGAACUAGGUGUUGGCGACAUUCCACGUCGUCGGUGCCGCAGCUAACGCAUUAAGUUCCCCGCCUGGGGAGUACGGCCGCAAGGCUAAAACUCAAAGGAAUUGACGGGGGCCCGCACAAGCAGCGGAGCAUGUGGCUUAAUUCGACGCAACGCGAAGAACCUUACCAAGGCUUGACAUACACCGGAAAGCAUCAGAGAUGGUGCCCCCCUUGUGGUCGGUGUACAGGUGGUGCAUGGCUGUCGUCAGCUCGUGUCGUGAGAUGUUGGGUUAAGUCCCGCAACGAGCGCAACCCUUGUUCUGUGUUGCCAGCAUGCCCUUCGGGGUGAUGGGGACUCACAGGAGACUGCCGGGGUCAACUCGGAGGAAGGUGGGGACGACGUCAAGUCAUCAUGCCCCUUAUGUCUUGGGCUGCACACGUGCUACAAUGGCNGGUACAAUGAGCUGCGAUGCCGCGAGGCGGAGCGAAUCUCAAAAAGCCGGUCUCAGUUCGGAUUGGGGUCUGCAACUCGACCCCAUGAAGUCGGAGUUGCUAGUAAUCGCAGAUCAGCAUUGCUGCGGUGAAUACGUUCCCGGGCCUUGUACACACCGCCCGUCACGUCACGAAAGUCGGUACACCCGAAGCCGGUGGCCCAACCCCUUGUGGAG